rnacentral:lncRNA from 1 species
UGAUAAUCAAAUCUGAUGUUUGCAAAAGCUUUUACGUGAAUUUACUUCAAAUCGUCAUAGAAAUCAUUAUGGAAUUUGCGGUAUAUAUAAAAAUAUACAUAAUAAUACAAAAAUAGCAUAACUUACAGUGUGGUGGACAAUAAUACGCCAAAAAUUGAUUCAAAGUUCUGAAGCGACCAUACACGAGUUGUGUUGAUAAAGGGAGAUAAUCACAUAAAAGUAUCUAUGGAAAGCAUGUAAAAAUGUU